GACGGAAGCCGGGGCGGACGGUCGGAGUCCGGAAGAAAAACAGUCCGCGACAGCUAGGCGCGUGAGACCGGCCGCCCGCAGGGCUGCUCUGGCCGGGACCCGCUGGCCGGGAGACGCGAACCUGCCGGACCACCGCGCGGGGACGACGGCGGCCAUGAGCUCGCGGAAGCUGAGCGGGCCGAAAGGCAGGAGGCUCAGCACAUACAUCAGGAGGUCUGCCUGAUCCCAUGGUGAACCCCGGGAAUCCGAAAUCAGAUUGAGAUAAGAUCCUUUAGGGAAGUGACUUAGCCUGGUCUCUUGCCUGCUCUUUCACGGGGAACAACGCUAAUCGCCCACUUAGUCUAAGUCACGAUGCUUGGAUUUGCUGCUAAUCGUCGGAUUUGAGAGUGGGAACAAGAAAUCCGGACUUUUGCUCUCCAUCCUCUUAGACAUACACGUCGUGACUUGGAACGUGGCUUCGGCAGCGCCCCCUCUAGAUCUCAGUGACCUGCUUCAGCUGAACAACCGGAACCUCAAUCUUGACAUAUAUGUUAUUGGGUCUCCCAUGUCCGUAUGCAGGGGAUCCUCUUACUGGUCUUUGCCAAGUAUCAGCAUUUGCCCUAUAUCCAGAUUCUGUCUACUA
rnacentral:lncRNA from 1 species